UGUACAGUGUCUUGUUUUAUAGUUUUAUAGUUUAUAGAUUCUUGUUGGAGAUUUUGAUUCAUCUUAGUGAUUUGAAUCUUGAAUUAUUUUUAUUUUUUUUAAGAGUUGUUCAUGACUAAAACUAACUUAUUGUUGUCCCAGUAUAUUUAAAUAUUUAUAUUUAAAUAUUUAAAUAAACAUCUAGGUCAAUGCUACCACAUCAAUGCUAACGCAGUCUCUGUUUACUGCUAUCUCUGCUCUAGGCUCGUUCUGAUUCUGAAAGAACACAGAUACAGAGGAAUGAACUGAUAUGUGUAUCUCUGGCAGACCGAUCUCUCAUUUUUGGAGCAUAUUAAAUGUCUACUAACGCUAUUUGUGGCUAAGUUAUCUCACCUCUGUUAUUGUCUUGAAAUCUUAUCAUCAUCUUUGUUUAAACAGAGAGGCCAGCACAUUCCUGUUCUGUUCCUGUUGUUUCCCCUUCAUCCAAAAUGUUGGUUUGGUGCUCGACUCCAUAGACAACAAACUGAAAAAAAUUAUAAAAAUAAAAUACAGAUCGAUCAUUGUAAUAAGUGUUUUAUCAAGCUUAAAAGUAAGUCAUAAUGUACUGCUAUCUCCUUUUGUGUCUCUUACAAAAAAUAAAGUCAUGUGGGUUUGGAAAGAGAUGAGGGUGGAGGGGCAGAGGAUCAGACAGACAGGAGGAACCAAGACUCAUUUCUACACAGAUGGACAUGUAAAAAGAGCACAAAUGGAGAAUUUUGAAGCAUCUUCAGACAGCUUUUUUCUAUACAACGGUGAUCAAAAGUGUUUUUUACGCAGUUUUUUAGACCUGGAUGAUGUAAAUGUAUGCAACACCCCUGAAAAUGCUUUUAUUAUCAUUACUGAUUGGUAAAGCGGCCAGCUUUGGCAUCAUGUGACAAGUUCAGCUCAGACGGAACUGCCAGUGUAAAUGUAAGUAACCCAACACACACACACACACACACACACACACACACAGAGAGAUUUGAGAUGAGUGUUAAUCUCUAAGGUGUGUUAGGAAAGCACAGAAGGAAGGAGAUAUCAAAUUAAGCUCACGUAAAACUUAUUUACUAAAAAACAUCCUAGUAAAAUUUAGAUUAGCAAAAAUUCCAUGUCAUUCUAGUUUUAGCCCAAUGCGACGGGCUUCAUGAGAAGGAUAACAUGAUAAAGACUUGUUUGAACAUAUAAUCUCUGAGGAAAGAUUCCUCUGAGUUAAAUGUUAUGCACAUCCAACCAUGUUGAAUAUUUACUUCAUCUCUCACAUAGCUCUCUCAAACGUUAAUACUGAGACAAAGAAACGCAUACACGCAGCUAAAAAUAAAUUGGCAUGCAUAGUCA
ensembl:lncRNA